rnacentral:siRNA from 1 species
CACAAGCGCAAUUGCAAAAGCUGC